AAGCUCUGCGUGUAAACCCUCGAAGCCAUCCCGACACCCCAGAUUUCAUAUCCAAGUUAAGAAGGAAGUUUUACGCUCCCGAGAUCCCGAGAAGUGCGAUUCCCGAGCCGAAGCUCUGCCCGCGAGGAGUUCGAUUUUUGUGGAGAUCUUCCAGAUCUGCCGAAGAAUACUACUUCUACAAGCCGUAGUGUUGUCCGAUCAUCUUCUGAUCAAGUGAGUGUGUGGUUACUUUCUUCUAACGCAUAAUUAUGAAAUAUUUUAUAUAAAAUACGUGUUAUGUGUAUACUUUGUUGUUAUAUGUGUGAAUGUAUAUUCACUUUCUUCUAUCUCAUGGAUCUGAUUUAUUCUCUAUGAAAUACGUGUUAUGUGUAUGUGUCUCAUCUGUUGUUUGGAAUAUGUAUUGAAUGAGAAUGCUAUACAGGUUUUAAACUAUGUAUAAAAAUAUAUAUUUUUAUCUACUAAUAUGUUGGGUAGAACAUGGGUAGAUAGUUGUGUGAUAAACAGAUGAGAGGCCUCAAUGUUGUUUUGAUUUAGUCAUCUAGCGGAGUUUAGAUGACGACCACAGACUUUUCUAGACAGUCCUGUGGAACGCUAGCAGGUUUGCCACCUGUAGGUGUUAAUGAACUUGGGUGUUCAUUCGCUGUACUCCAUCCCCCUCAUGGUUGCCUUAUUUGACUUAUAUUGCUGAGGUACCCCCGAAGCAUGUGUUGUCGCCCCGAUGAAAUAUUCUUAGACUAGGUCCCUUAUGUUAGUUGUUUUAGGGACAUUAAAGUGAGAAUAACGGGAAUGGGUAAUUGGGUUAUUGUUGGUUGGUGAAAAUUAAAUAUGAUAUUUAUUGUGGGUUGAAAACCCUAUAUGCUCACCAGGCUCCCAAGCCUGACCCACUCAGUUUUAAAUUGUAUUACAGGUAGUGGCGGAAGGGCAUGAGAUGGAUGAACCAUCAAGUUGUUUUGUUUACAAGUCUGCAUAUGUUUAUAUUUGUUAUAUGACUUGUAAUGUAUUCGUUUAUGCUUAUUGGUCUGUAUCGGAACAUGACACCCCGAGUUUUGAUUAUAAUGAAAAUACAUUUCUUUUAUGAAAUGCUUCGGUAAACAAUGUUUUAUCAUGUUUUGUUUUUGGGAACAAAUUCCGCAACUCUUUCAAAUCAAAAGGAUUUACUCUGAAAAUAUUUAAAAGCAUAAAUGAAAAUCGGUCUUUUCUGGCCGAGAUUUUGGGGAUGUCACAGUUGGUAUCAGAGCAUUAGUUUAAGCGAACUAGGAAUUUGUAGGAUUUCUAGACUUAAACUUAGAAUGCUAAGUGAAGUUUUGAGAUGUGUGUCUGUUGUGUUUUAGACACGAGCACUAGUUUAUUUUAGGAAAGUUGCCUAAAAUGCUUUAUGUGCUAAAUGUUAUAUGUUGCCAUAUAUGAUAUUAUUUGUUCGGAUCUAUGGUCUGUUGCCGACCGGAUCUAGAAACCUUAUGUGUGUAGGAUUCUAAGCGUACGUCUACGAUAUUAGAACUAGCAUGUAAACGUUUCGGAGUGAUAAGGAUGAUUUGAAUAUCUAUCAUGAUUGAGGAUCUAAUUUCACCUUAUUCGGUGUAGAUCAAAAUGGUGAGAACAAGAAGUGGAGUUGGAAAUGCUGACGAAAACAGGAAUCAACCACCAGUGAUUGAGCCAAUACCUGUCGUAGCAGCAGCACCUGAGCCAAUAACCAUGGCUGGUGUGCAAUUGAUGAUUCAGACGAUGUUGGAUCGUCAGAUGGAUGAAACUAGACGGUUGCUUCAACAAAAUCGUGAAGAACUGUCGAUUCGUGUGGAAGAGCCUGAACUGAAUGAAGGGCACUCGGAAGGUGGAAACUUCAGUGGGUCUGUUGGUCCAGCCAACCCACCGAUAGUUAGGCAAGAUAACCAUGAUGGAAGGAAUGAUGGAAUGGGAUGCAAGUACAAGGACUUUUUGACUUGUAAACCAUCGACCUUCAAUGGAAAGGAGGAUCCGAUUGGGGUUAUGGAUUGGAUCUCCGAAAUGGAGUUAGCCUUUAUGACAUGUGGCUGUAGAGGCAAGUUGCAGACUAUCUAUGCCGUGCGACAAUUCCGAGGUGGAGCCGUUCGUUGGUGGAACACUCUAGGGAAGACCUUAAGCCCUAGCGAGCCACUGCAAUUGUCAUGGGCAGAGUUCUUGGUGCAGUUCAAGCGCAAGUUCUGCUCGGCUCAAAAUCUGUUGGAGUUGGAGAACAAGUUUUUGACAUUGACGAAGGGUAGCAUGUCAGUUGAUGAAUACACCAAUAACUUCACCGAUAAGAUGGAGUUUGCCUUGCGUAUCGUUCCAGACGAGCUGACAAAGGUGGAUCGGUAUGCGAAGGGACUUCCAUGGGAGUACGAGGUGCCGGUACGUCAGGCACUUACUCUAGAGGCAGCUAUCUGGGCUGCCAAGUCUGUGGAGAACAUGAUAAAGGGGAGAACCACCGACAAGGUUGAGGUUGGUGAGAAAAGGAAGUUUGAAGGAACAUCUGGUUCCAGUAAGAAGAGUAAAUUUUCGAAAUUUGAUUCGAAAAAGUUUGGAGGAAAAGGAGGCGAAGCGAAGUGGUGUGAUAAGUGUAGGAAAAAGCACUUUGGGAAAUGUAGCGAGGAUGUAACCUGCUACAAGUGUGGAAAGGUUGGACAUUUUGCCAAUGAAUGUCCGAACAACAAAAGGAUGUGUUUUGGGUGUAAUGAAGAGGGGCAUAUUUUGAAAGACUGUCCGAAGAAGAAGGAGGCAGCUAGGCCCAACAUUCCACCAAAGCCGAAGGCGAGAGCCUUCCAGAUGACACUUGAGGCUGCGAAAGAUGAAGCUGAUGUCGCUUCAGGUACCUUUCUCGUAAACGAAUUACCUGCUCAUAUAUUGUUUGAUUCUGGAGCCAACUACUCCUUUAUUUCGCAUGAGUUUGGUAGAAAGCUAGCUUUGCCUGUUGAUAGACUAAAUAAUGCUUUAUUAGUCGAAGUAGCUAGUGGCAAGUUUGUACCUGUUAGCCAUCGUAUGAAAAACGUCUUGAUCGACCUUAAUGGGAAUAAGUUUCUCGAGGAAUUAUUGCCUAUCGAACUAAAUGGUUUCGACAUCGUCUUGGGAAUGGAUUGGCUUAGCGCCAAUGAUGCCGAAAUUUUGUGCAAGAAGAAGAUAGUUAAAGUAAACCCGCCUGGGAAAGAUUCGUUUAUGGUGUAUGGGGACAAACGCAGAGUGAAUUCUGGAAUCAUUUCUCUAAUGAAAGCCAGAAAGUGUUUGACCAAGGGAUGUACAUCAUAUUUAGCAUUCGUGAUUGAUGCUAAGAAGGAAAAGAAGGUGAUGCAGAGUAUUCCAGUGGUGUGUGAUUAUCCGGAAGUAUUUCCCGAGGAUCUUCCUGGAUUACCACCUGAUAGACAAGUGGAGUUCAGAAUAGACUUGUUACCAGGAACCACGCCAAUUGCAAAAGCACCUUACCGAUUAGCACCGACGGAGAUGAAGGAGCUGAUGAUGCAACUUCAGGAGUUAUUGGACAAAGGUUUCAUUAGACCUAGUUCAUCACCCUGGGGAGCUCCGGUGUUAUUUGUAAAGAAGAAAGAUGGAAGUAUGAGAAUGUGCAUUGAUUACAGAGAGCUGAACAAGGCAACAAUAAAGAAUAGAUAUCCGUUGCCGAGGAUUGAUGACCUAUUUGAUCAAUUGCAAGGUUCGAGCUAUUUCUCGAAGAUCGAUCUAAGGUCAGGAUAUCAUCAGCUAAAAGUAAGAGAGCAAGAUAUCGAGAAGACUGCAUUCAGAACUAGAUAUGGACACUACGAGUUCUUGGUUAUGUCGUUUGGACUAACCAAUGCUCCAGCAGCAUUCAUGGAUUUAAUGAAUAGGGUUUGUAAUCCGUUCCUUGAUAAAUCCGUGAUAGUGUUCAUAGAUGACAUUCUGAUUUACUCGAAAAGCCAAGAGGAGCAUGGCAGACACUUGCGAGAAGUGUUAGAAGUUUUGAAGAAGGAGAAGCUGUAUGCAAAGUUCUCCAAAUGUGAUUUUUGGAUUCGAGAAGUCCAAUUCUUGGGUCACGUGGUCAACCAAGAAGGGAUAAUGGUUGAUCCAGCAAAGAUUGAGGCUGUAAUGAGGUGGCAAUAGCCGAAAAGUCCCAUGGAGAUCCGAAGAUUUUUAGGAUUAGCCGGAUAUUACUGAAGGUUUAUCCAAAGCUUUUCUUCGAUCGCUAGCCCAUUAACAGCUUUGACCCACAAAGGAGCUACUUAUGCUUGGAGUGAUAAGCAUAAAGAAGCAUUCAAGAAGCUAAAGAAGAAGCUAUGUGAGGCACCGAUUUUAUCUCUACCCAAUGGAGUUGAAGACUUCGCUGUCUAUAGCGAUGCGUCUGGUGUUGGAUUGGGUUGUGUUUUGACCCAAAGAGAAAAGGUGAUAGCAUAUGCGUCUCGACAGCUGAAAGAGCAUGAAAAGAAUUACCCGACUCAUGAUUUGGAGUUGGCAGCGGUAGUUUUCGCUCUGAAAAUAUGGAGGCAUUACCUCUAUGGCACGAAGUGUAAACUUUUCACUGAUCAUAAGAGUCUCCAAUAUCUCUUUAAUCAGAAAGAGUUAAAUAUGAGGCAACGACGCUAGCUAGAGUUACUCAAGGACUACGACUGUGAGAUACCUGACCAUCCCGGUAAAGCUAAUGUUGUUGCUGAUGCUCUCAGUCGGAAAGUCAAUGUUGAGAGAAAGAGGCCAAGAGCGUUGAGAAUAGAAGUUGUCUCGACAAUUUUGGAGAGUAUAAACAAAGCUCAAGAAGAAGCUUCUGAAAGGAAUGACCGGAAGGAGGAACUUUUGGGCAAAACGUUGGUGUUUGGUACAAACGGUCAUGGACUGAAGGUAUUCCAAGAUCGUAUUUGGGUACCUAAGUCAGGAGGAAUAAGAGAUCUUCUGAUGGAAGAAGCUCACAAAACAAUGUACUCAAUUCAUCCUGACAGCACUAAAAUGUAUAGGGACCUGAAACCCUACUACUGGUGGCCGACGAUGAAGCUUGAUGUUGCAAAGUAUGUGGCCGAGUGUGUGACUUGUGCGAGAGUCAAGACACAACAUCAGAAACCUUACGGGAGUUUAGAACCUUUGCCUGUGCCUAUGGGUAAGUGGGAAGACAUUGCUAUGGAUUUUGUCACUAAACUGCCCAGAACAAAGAAUGGUCACGACAUGAUUUGGGUGGUCGUUGAUCGAUUCACUAAGAGUGCGCAUUUCAUAGCAGCCAAGGAGAAAUGGUCUAUGGAAAAGCUUGCGAAUUCUUACGUGAAGGAAAUUGUGAGGCUUCACGGUGUUCCGUUAACGAUUGUAUCGGAUCGUGAUAGCCGUUUCACCUCAAGGUUUUGGAAAAGUCUACAAGAGGAAAUGGGUACCAAGUUAUGUUUAAGUACAGCUUACCAUCCGCAGACUGAUGGUCAGAGUGAAAGAACAAUACAAACACUUGAAGAUAUGCUGAGAGCAUGUACCUUGGAAUUCCUAGGUAAUUGGGAUGAACAUUUACCGUUGGUAGAAUUUUCCUAUAAUAAUAGUUUUCACUCGAGCAUUAAGAUGGCACCUUAUCAAGCUUUGUAUGGACAGAAGUGUCGUACGCCGUCUUGUUGGCUUGAGGCUGGGGAAAAGCAGUUUAUGGGACCGGAGAUGGUUCAUCAAACUGCUGAAAAGUUGAAAAUAAUUAGGGAAAGAAUGUUAGCAGCUCAAGAUCGUCAAAAGAGCUAUGCUGACAAGAAGCGAAGACCGAUGACUUUUGAGGUUGGAGAUUCGGUUUUGCUUAAAGUCUCGCCGUGGAAGGGACUUAUAAGAUUUGGUAAAAGGGGAAAGUUGAGUCCAAGGUUUAUUGGACCGUUUAAAGUUCUUCAGAGGAUUGGGAACCAAGCUUACAAGCUCGAAUUACCCGAAGAACUGAAUGGAAUUCACAACACUUUUCAUGUGUGUUAUUUGAGGAAGUUCACGGGAGAAGUUCCCGAUAUAAUUCCAAUUUCUGAAUUGAGAAUUGAUGAGAACAAAAGGUUGAUUGAAGAACCAGAGGCAAUUGUUGACCGAAAGACUAAGAAGUUGCGACGCAAAAUGGUUGGGUUAGUGCUUGUCCGAUGGAAACACACGAAUGGGCCGAAUCUCACCUGGGAGACGGAGAGUGACAUGUUGAGUCGCUAUCCGCAUUUGUUUGUUGAUGUGUGAUUCCGGGGACGGAAUCAUUCUAAGGUGGAGAGAAUUGUAACGCCUGUGUUUCCGGGCUUGCCAUUUUUAGCAAUGUAAUAGUCUAGGUUAACCUUUGUAACCCGUUUUGAAAUAAUAAGAUUGUAUUAUUUGAGUAUUAUGUGUUUUGUGCUUAAUUGCUUAAUUAUGUGGUUUGAUUAAUUAAGAAUAAAAAUAAGCGUCAAAAUUUAAGUGUAAAAUAAACUUAAUAUCUUUGGUUAAUGUUGUAGUAGUUGAAACGAGGUUUCCGAAUAUAUAUAGAACGCCCAAAUCUGACUUCGUAUGAGGAAGUUAUGAUUUAUCGAAGUUCCGGCUUAGCGAUAUACAGCCUGUUUUACUCGAUUUGAGAUCGAGCGGUUGUUAGCCGAAGCAAUCUAAAUGAGAAUCGAAGAUCUCAUUGUUGGUAUUGAAACGAUAAAAAGUUAGGCGAGAACGGACGUCAAACGAAGAAGUUAUGAAUUUAUAACGAAAGUUUCUGUCCCGGCCUAUUAAAAAUAAUUAAUAAAAAUAAAGUCAAAAUUAGCCGACGGAGUCUAAACGAAAGUCGUAGAGCGUGGUCUCACCUUCGCGUGGAUAUAAAGAACGUCGAAAACGGAGUUCGUAUGAAGAAGUUAUGAAUUUCCGAAGUUUAUUAAUCAUUUUGUAUUUAUUUUUAAUUCAAAAUUCGGAAGCAUUAUCCGAAGGAGUCACCGAUCUGAUCCGAGGUACGCCCCGCGUACUCGAGUACGCCCCGCGUACUCCGAGGGAUGUCGACACUCGCACUCGAGCACUUCGGAUACGUAAGCAAUGACGUUUUGGGCAGUACGCCCCGCGUAACGCAGUACGCCCCGCGUACUCCGAGGCUCCAGCCUCCUAUAAAUAGGAUGCGAGGGUUCCGGGUAUUUUUGCCAAUUCCCUCUCGUUUUCGUGUCGAAGCUCUGUGCAAAAACCCCCGAAGCUACCCCGAAGUCCCGGUAUCAUACUCUAGCCCCGAGGCAAGUCCCGAGAUCCCGAAGAUCCCGAAAAGUGCGGUUCCCGAGUCGAAGCUCUGCCCGCGAGAAGUUCGAUUUUCGAGAAGAUCUUCCAGAUCUGCUGUGGAUUACUACUUCUAUAAGCCGUAGUGCUGUCCGAUCAUCUUCUGAUCAAGUGAGUGUGUAGUUAUUUCUUCUAAUACAAUAAUACGAAGUAUUUUAUAUAAAAAUACGUGCUAUGUGUAUAUAUUUGGUUGUGUUAUGUGUGAAUGAGUAUUCACUCUCUUCUAUCUUAUAGAUCUGCUUAUUUCUUUAUGAGAUAUGUGUUAUGUGUGUGUGUGCCUCAUCUGUUAUGUGAUAUAUGUGUUGAUUAAAGCAUGCUAUACAGGUUUUCUUUAAACUAUGUAUACAAAUGUAUAUUUUUAUCUACUAAUAUGUUGGGUAGAACAUGGGUAGACAGUUGGUGUGUAAUAAACAGAUGAGAGGCCUCGUUGUUGUUUGAUUGAGUCAUCUAGCGGAGUUUAGAUGACGACCACUGGCUAUUCUAGACAGUCUUGUGGAAACAUUAGCAGGUUCGCCACCUGUAGGUGUUAAUGAACUUGGGUGUUCAUUCGCUGUACUCCAUCCCCCUCAUGAUUGCCUUAUUUGACUUAUAUUG
rnacentral:lncRNA from 1 species